rnacentral:rRNA from 1 species
AUUGAACGCUGGCGGCAGGCCUAACACAUGCAAGUCGAGCGGAUGAAGGGAGCUUGCUCCUGGAUUCCGCGGCGGACGGGUGAGUAAUUCCUAGGAAUCUGCCUGGUAGAGGGGGAUAACGUCCGGAAACGGGCGCUAAUACCGCAUACGUCCUGAGGUAGAAAGUGGGGGAUCUUCGGACCUCACGCUAUCAGAUGAGCCUAGGUCGGAUUAGCUAGUUGGUGGGGUAAAGGCCUACCAAGGCGACGAUCCGUAACUGGUCUGAGAGGAUGAUCAGUCACACUGGAACUGAGACACGGUCCAGACUCCUACGGGAGGCAGCAGUGGGGAAUAUUGGGCAAUGGGCGAAAGCCUGAUCCAGCCAUGCCGCGUGUGUGAAGAAGGUCUUCGGAUUGUAAAGCACUUUAAGUUGGGAAGAAGGGCAGUAAGUGAAUACAUGGCUGUUUUGACGGUACCAACAGAAUAAGCACCGGCUAACUUCGUG